rnacentral:tRNA from 1 species
UAAAAGAUAAGCUAAAUAAGCUGAAGGGCUCAUGCCCCUUUUAUGGACAAACCUCUUUUAG